GGUGGUUCUUGGGUGACGCACCCCUGAAUCAGGCUCCUUCCUCUCUGGUUCUGAGGUGUGUCACUUGAGAAUUGCU
rfam:Myotis lucifugus cont2.5336, whole genome shotgun sequence.